AGUGAGGAGGGCCAGGGAGGGCGGGAAGACGGUCCACUCUGCUGCAGGUCGUCGUGAGGCGUGGCCGCCGCCGCUCCUUCAAUAUUAUUUACCUGCUGGACGCCUGUCCCGCGCUGGUGGCUGCUUGAUGAUAAAUUGCUGAACGGGCCCAACACUUCUGGCAAGAGUGAAAGACGUUUAGGGGUUAGUUGAUUUGUCUUGUAAAAUUAGAAAUGUUGCUAGUAACUUCAAGGAAUAGGAAUGUCCAAGAAUGUGGAAGAGGAAAUGUCAGUCUUCCAGUCUGGAGCAUACAUGUUGGCCAUUGUGAAAGAAUGCAUGGUUGUCAUGACGAAGGAUGACUAGGGGCCAGCUAAAGGUACCAGAAUACGUUGCGGCAGUUGUGUUGGAACUGCACACCUUAACAAUGAUGGUGGCACUGAAGACUGUGGUGAAUGGUGACAUAAGCUGCCAUCCCCCUAAGAAAGCAACAUGAUGCAUCACUGACUGCACAUUAGAGCAAGUUUGUCAGCUGGGCUAGUGGUUACGUAGCACUCUGGUUUGGGAUGUGGCAAAGUGUCCAGAUUAAGGUGCAGAAAUUUGUUUGUAGUGCCGGGACACGACACAUGGACACUCAAGAUGGGCAGUCUUAAGCACUUGGCCUUCUCUACGUCCUUAUGCCAUGUUAUGCAGUGCCAUGCUACGUCCCUAGCAAACUGGUUUAUGCUUUGGCAAAAAUUCCUGUUGUCUGGAGCAUCGUCUUUGGAGAGAACUGGUACGGGCACAACUGCAUUAUAUAUGUUGUACAUGGAUUGAUCAAGAUUGUUACUAGGAUCAAAGCUUCUCAAAGAUUGCAGCAGCUCUAGGCCUGUACCAGGUGACUGGCAGCUGGCAUAAUGGAAAAAGGGUGUUGCAGUUUUUGGUGAUGGCAUCACUUCUGUGAAGGAAUGAGUUGCUAGGUUCUGCAAGUUCCCAACUGAAACUACUCUAGUUUAGGGCUCGAGAUAGGCAGCUGUUGUGGUGUUGAGGUGACUGUCUGAAGUGUCUGGAGUCAAGCUUUGAGUUUCUUGCUGCCAGCUCAACUAAAUUCCUAAUUGGUAAACUGUUCCAGUGCGACAAGUUAUCAUGCAGCCUCUUUCAAAGUGAUAGUGUCAAUGUUCAACAAGUGAUAAAAUACAUUACUGCAAUAAAAGUUGUACGCA